rnacentral:rRNA from 1 species
GGAGGAAAAGAAACCAACAGGGAUUGCCUCAGUAACGGCGAGUGAAGCGGCAAAAGCUCAAAUUUGAAAUCCCCCCGGGGAGUUGUAAUUUGAAGAUUGCGUCUUGGAGGCGACCGUGUCUAUGUUCCUUGGAACAGGACGUCACAGAGGGUGAGAAUCCCGUGCGGCACGGCCCCCGGCUCCUUAUAAGGCGCUCUCGACGAGUCGAGUUGUUUGGGAAUGCAGCUCAGAGUGGGUGGUAGAUUCCAUCUAAAGCUAAAUACAGGCGAGAGACCGAUAGCGAACAAGCACAGCGACGGAAAGAUGAAAAGCACCCCGAAAAGAGAGCGAAACAGCACGCGAAAUCGUUGAAAGGGAAGGGCAUGCCGUCAGAUUGUCAGUGUGGGUAAGAAGCGGGGUACAAAGACUGUGGAACGUGGCCCUCGGGUGUUAUAGCCGCAGUUCAUGCCCCGUCUCUUUCCGAGGCCUGCUUUGAGGACACCGACGUAAUGACGGUACGCCGCCCGUCUUGAACC